GUCUACAGCCAUACCACCCUGGACGUGCCUGAUCUCAGAAGCUAAGCAGGGUUGGGUCUGGUUAGGACUUCGAUGGGAGACCACCUGGGAAUAUGGGGUGCUGUAUGCU
rnacentral:rRNA from 1 species